rnacentral:rRNA from 1 species
GGGGGGGGGGGGGGGGGGGGGGGGGGGGGGCGGGGCGGGGGGAGGGGGGGGGGGGGGGUGGGGGGCUCGAGUGGCGGGCGAGUGAGUAAGACGGGAGUAGCCUGCCGUGGAGUGGGGGAGAACGGGGGGAAACUGGGGAUAAUACCGGAUAGGAGCUCCGGCUGCAUGGUGGGGGGUGGAAAGUUUCGGCGGUUGGGGAUGGACUCGCGGCUUAUCAGCUUGUGGGUGGGGGAGUGGCUUACCAAGGCUUUGACGGGUAGCCGGCCUGAGUGGGUGACCGGCCACAUUGGGACUGAGAUACGGCCCAGACUCCUACGGGAGGCAGCAGUGGGGAAUAUUGCACAAUGGGCGGAAGCCUGAUGCAGCAACGCCGCGUGCGGGAUGAAGGCCUUCGGGUUGUAAACCGCUUUCGCCUGUGACGAAGCGUGAGUGACGGUAAUGGGUAAAGAAGCACCGGCUAACUACGUG